UAUCUAUGGAUGCAGCUACUGACUUGUGCAUUGUCUAUAAAAGUUCGAGGGAGUCGGAUACUCCCACUCCUGGUAUCUGUACUAAGUUUCCAAAACACCCAAUAGCUGGACUCAAAUUCCUCCAGAAUUGCGUAUUGCGUAUUGCGUAUUAAUAGGUACAUGUAUACGUAAUUAUGCAAAGUAAUAAUAUUGUUGAUUUUUCUCUGCAGUUAUAGUUAGCCCAAUUAAUCAUCAAGGCAUCUCCAUUCUGUUCAGUAACACAUUACAUGAUGGUCUCAAGCAUCAGGACCCCUGUGUGCCCCCCUGGUGCUCUACUUUUUGGAUCCCGUUCAUGCGGCCAUGCAGAUCCACCUCUGUGCAAAAGAGUUCUGAGAACCUCCUCUAUAUGCAAGCACAGCACCAACAAGGUGUUCGAUUUGAAGGGCUCCAUGAGAAGUCGAUCCAUUGAUUCGUCUAAAGAGAGUAGUGGGGACGUACUGUUGGAUGAGAACUACCUUCAAUAUAUACGUGUUACUUAUUUAAACUAACUGUCAGCUGAUUAGUAGCACACGAUUUAGAAGCCUGCAUGUAGUAUCUCGAGUAUAGCAAGUGUCCGAGUCCUAUAAUAUAUUAAUAACGUGUUCUCCCCCUCCAGCAAUUUGCUGCAACCCAGUGUACGUGUACCCUCACUCCAAGUGUGUACUGAUGCAGGCCAUACUAGCCGACACUAAGUUCUUGACACAGAACGCCAUCAUGGACUACUCUCUACUCACUUGCAUUGAUGAUUCCACGGGAGAACUUGUCGUCGGAAUUAUUGCAGAUUUCAUGGACUCUUUAUAAGCACGGAAAAGUGAUGAUGAAGAAGUUUAUCAAGGAGCAGUGGCAAGGAUCGAGAUUCUGGAGGGAACA